GACGAACGCUGGCGGCGUGCUUAACACAUGCAAGUCGAACGGAAAGGCCCUGCUUUUGUGGGGUGCUCGAGUGGCGAACGGGUGAGUAACACGUGAGUAACCUGCCCUUGACUUUGGGAUAACUUCAGGAAACUGGGGCUAAUACCGGAUAGGAGCUCCUGCUGCAUGGUGGGGGUUGGAAAGUUUCGGCGGUUGGGGAUGGACUCGCGGCUUAUCAGCUUGUUGGUGGGGUAGUGGCUUACCAAGGCUUUGACGGGUAGCCGGCCUGAGAGGGUGACCGGCCACAUUGGGACUGAGAUACGGCCCAGACUCCUACGGGAGGCAGCAGUGGGGAAUAUUGCACAAUGGGCGGAAGCCUGAUGCAGCAACGCCGCGUGCGGGAUGACGGCCUUCGGGUUGUAAACCGCUUUCGCAUGUGACGAAGCGUGAGUGACGGUAAUGGGUAGAGAAGCACCGGCUAACUACGUG
rnacentral:rRNA from 1 species